rnacentral:lncRNA from 1 species
UAGGGAAGCAGUAGAGGGGCCAGGUAGCAGAAAAGGGAGACCCUCAGCCAUCUUGAGACAAGAGCCACUCCCAAGAAAGAGACGGUAAUCUAGUCCCUGAUGAUCCCUUCGCCUUCAGGGAUAUACCUGGACUAUAGUCAGAGGAUGGUGGCAGGUAUAAGGACCAGUUGCAACCCCAUUGGAGUCAUCACAUCCACCUACUUCAUCGCUCCUAAGGAACCAGUCACAGCCCCAUCACUGUGAUCGCACUCUCUUUUAUCACUCCUUCGGACCAGCGCAACCCCAUUGCACUGAUUGCCCCUCCUUCCUCAAUUCUCCCCAGGAACCAGGGACAGCUCCAUUGCAGUGAUCACAUCCUCCUUCCUCAUCGCUCCCCUGGAACCAGUUGCAAUCCCAUCAUCGAUCAUACCUUCAUGCAUCACAGCAAUUGCAUCCUCACUGAAAUAGCAGGAUUCCCAGAUCCAUCACAGUGAUCACGUCCUCCUUCCUCACUGCUCCUCUGGGACCAGUCAAAGCCCCUUCACCUUUGAUUCUACAUCUCUUCUACAGAGUCCCCUGGCAAAUGUCAAAGAGCUGGUUAGCCAUGUGAACCAUGUGAAAUUGUCCAGCCACUCAGCCUGCCAUCACCCAUUUAGGGGUCUCACCGGAGACCACAGCUACAGUCGUCUGAGCCCAACUUCUGCAUUGCUUUUACACUGUAAAAGCAUAAGUAGAGGCAGUGUGGCCUAAUGGAAAGAGCAUGAGAACUGCAAAUCAAAAGACCUGGAUUCUAGUCCCAGAUAUGCC